GAUUGCCUACGGGGGGCAGCAGUGAGGAAUAUUGGUCAAUGGGAGAGAUCCUGAACCAGCCAAGCCGCGUGAGGGAAGACGGCCCUAUGGGUUGUAAACCUCUUUUGUCGGAGAACAAAACCCGGGACGUGUCCCGGACUGCGUGUAUCCGAAGAAAAAGCAUCGGCUAACUCCGUGCCAGCAGCCGCGGUAAUACGGAGGAUGCGAGCGUUAUCCGGAUUUAUUGGGUUUAAAGGGUGCGUAGGCGGUCCGUUAAGUCAGCGGUAAAAUCGUGGGGCCCAACCCCAUCCCGCCGUUGAAACUGG
rnacentral:rRNA from 1 species